rnacentral:rRNA from 1 species
UUCUUAAUAAAAUUAUUUUAAGUAAAAUCUGCUCCAGGUAUUAUAAAUAGCCGCAGUAAUUUCACUGGUGCUAAGGUAGCAUAAUCAUUAGCCUUUUAAUUAAAGGAUAGAAUGAAAGAUUUAACAAUUUUAUUUUUUUUUUUUAAAAAUAAUUUAAUUUUAACUAAAUAUUAAAAUGUAUUUAUUAAUAAAAAAGACGAUAAGACCCUAUUGAACUUUACUAAAGUUUAGCUGGGGAAGCUCGUUAAAAACAAUUUUAACCUUUCUAUUUAUUAAAAUAUCCAAUUUAAUUGAUUUUAAAAGUUACCAUAGGGAUAACAGCGUAAUAUUUUUUAAAAGUUCUUAUUAAAAAAAAAAGUUUGCGACCCCGAUGUUGAAUUAAUUUUACUUUAACACGCAAUUGUAUUAAAAGUAGGUCUGUUCGACCUUUAAAUAGUU